ensembl:lncRNA
ACGUUUUCGUAACAUUUUUAAAAUGGUAGGAUGGAAUGUUUCUGUAAUGUUCGCAGAAACCCCACAAAAAAUGUUCUCAAUACAUUAAAAAAACUUGCCGUUCUCAACGUGUACAAAACAUUCCGAAAUAACGUUUUCAUAACUUAAGGGAAAUGUUAGUAAAACGUUCUGACAACUCAUUUUUGUUAGCUGGGUCUACGCAUCAACAUCUUGUUUUUCACAACUGAGAGACUCUUAUAGAUGGGUCCUAUAAACCUCUCCCACCAUCAACUGCUGUGCAAGACCUCAGUGGCCAAAAUGUCAUAUAUGAGCAAGUGUGUUUGCUGCCCAUUACACAACCUGACAAAAUUUGUGAUUAUGACCCUCAAAACCUGGCUGUUGUAGCUGGAUGAUCUGUUGUACUCAUCUGUAUAAAUGGUCGCUAUGACGUCUUCCUGCCAGUGAUGAAUUGCAGACCAUGUCUUGCAUCAUGGACAGCUGAGGUGGUGGACAUGUUGUUUAGUGGUUACUGGCCAGGCACUGUCAAGUUUCAAACCAUAUACCAGGUAGACCUCUUUGCAUCGCUUGAGAUCACUGCACCUGGGCUUUCAAGACAAGCAUUUGUGAAAAUGUUACAACAGCGCUCACAACAAUUUGGAAGGGGCAGAGGAACAACCAUUUUUUGAUGGAGUUUUUCUGGCUAAUGACAAAGAUGUAGCAACAUUUGUUGAUUGUGUUCGUGAGAAGACCAUUCCAGUACAUGGAAAAGGCAUCUGUGGAACAUGAGCAUGGGCUGCAGCCAGGGAGACCUCUAAAAAGACAAACACUAAAUGUGAUGAAGAGGGCCUAGAGGUGGCAGUUUGCAGGCACAGCAUAUU